ACUCAAAUGAAUAGACGGGGGCCCGCACAAGCGGUGGAGCAUGUGGUUUAAUUCGAUGCUACGCGAAAAACCUUACCUGGACUUGACAUGCCGCGCUAUGCCUCUAAUAGGGCAGUUCCCUCACGGGACGCGGACACAGGUGCUGCAUGGCUGUCGUCAGCUCGUGUUGUGAGAUGUUGGGUUAAGUCCCGCAACGAGCGCAACCCUCGUCGUUAGUUACCAUCAUUAAGUUGGGCACUCUAACGAGACCGCUAGGCUAUAAGCCAGAGGAAGGUGGGGAUGACGUCAAGUCCUCAUGGCCUUUAUGUCCAGGGCUACACACGUGCUACAAUGGAGAGUACAAAGCGCCGCUACUAUGCAAAUGGAUGCUAAUCGCAAAAAACUCUUCUCAGUUCGGAUUGAGGUCUGCAACUCGACCUCAUGAAGCUGGAAUCGCUAGUAAUCGCGGAUCAGCACGCCGCGGUGAAUACGUUCCCGGGCCUUGUACACACCGCCCGU
rnacentral:rRNA from 1 species